AGAAUUUCAUGAGCGACUUCUUUCGGUAAUCCGAGGAGAGGUCUAUUCGUGUAUUUUUUAACAAAAAGAGCUCUCAAAAUGGUAGCCCCGUGGAGACAAGUUGGAAUGACUUACAUCCAGUACUCCUCAAUCGCUGCAAGGCUUGUUAGGAGAGCACUGCGACCAGAACUGAGGGUAGAAGCUCUAAAGACAGAGGAAUCAGGAGCGAAAUUCACAAAGUGGGAAGGCGGUAAACCAGCUGCCAAGGAAUCUGCUGCAUGAUGUCCGCUCCUUAAAUUCUUCCCUUCUUAUAUCAUCAAGCUGAAGAAAUAUCAACAACCUCACACGCAAAUUCCAGACUACCUAGUAAAACAACAUAACCAUUGUCUACUGGUCUGCUAAGAAAGACACUG